rnacentral:lncRNA from 1 species
UCCAAAUAGAGUGAACCUCUCUCUCUGGGGCCCUGUUGGUCCCACAUUUAUCAGUGCCCUCUCUCGGACUUGAGAAUGGGCUGGAGGAGUUCGGCUCCUCUUAAAGCAAAACACUUUUCACAAAAGAAAUGAAAAAAAUAUACAGCCAAGAAAGACCCCCUGACAAGUGAAGAGAGGCAUCGAGCAAGUCAAAUAAUGAGUUGUGGCUGCAGAGGCGCAAGCUCUUCAUCUACAAAGCUGAGGACCAUGAGGCUAAGGAACUACCAAAAGGCCCGAAGCUAGCAGAACCCAAGAAGAGGCCAGUCUACCUGGUGAUUGUUCGGCUCUCUGAUCUCUUCACCAGAACUUUCAAAUUCUCAAGAAAAUGUGUGUGAUCAAAGAAGUUUGAGAACAUCUGCAACAAAUAGAACCUUCACUCCCUGAAUGUGUAUGUGAAACCAGCAUGUCAGGUGAACACACACGGGUACACACGUGUGCCCGAUAAUAAGGUGCCAUAAUAUAAAGAUUGGAUGGUUAUCUCUUCCCCACUCGCCCUCAUCCCUUGCUCUACUUAUCUCUUUUUUUCUCAGCAGUGUAUGCAUAAGGACUAGGGAUAUUGGAAGCUAACGAUGAUGAGUGUGGAUGGCUGGAGAGUAAACAGAAUUGUCACUGGAAAAAAGUGAUUAGGGUCAAUUAUAGUGCAUCUCAUGACUCCUUAACAAGAGCUGGCAUGAUUUUAUAAUUCCAUGUAGUUUUCUAGAUAAAGUCAGUGAAAAUAUACUCCACAAAGGAAAUUCAGGAACCUGGUUAUAGAAGAA